rnacentral:rRNA from 1 species
AACGUAGGAGACAAACGUUAUCCGGAGUUACUGGGCGUAAAGGGCGUGUAGGUGGUUCUGUAAGUCUGGCGUGAAAUUUCUCGGCUUAACCGAGGCAGGUCGUCGGAUACUGCAGGGCUAGAGGACGGUAGAGGCGUGUGGAAUUCCGGGUGUAGUGGUGAAAUGCGUAGAGAUCCGGAGGAACACCAGUGGCGAAAGCAGCUCUCUGGGACGGUACUGACGCUGAGACGCGAAAGCGUGGGGAGCGAACAGG